UGGGGAAUUGUUCGCAAUGGGCGCAAGCCUGACGACGCAACGCCGCGUGGAGGAUGAAGAUUUUCGGAUCGUAAACUCCUGUCGAGCGGGACGAACAGCCUGCCGGUGAACAGCCGGUGAGCCUGACGGUACCGCUAAAGGAAGCCCCGGCUAACUCCGUGCCAGCAGCCGCGGUAAUACGGGGGGGGCAAGCGUUGUUCGGAAUUACUGGGCGUAAAGGGCUCGUAGGCGGCCAACUAAGUCAGACGUGAAAUCCCUCGGCUCAACCGGGGAACUGCGUCUGAUACUGGAUGGCUUGAAUCCGGGAGAGGGAUGCGGAAUUCCAGGUGUAGCGGUGAAAUGCGUAGAUAUCUGGAGGAACACCGGUGGCGAAGGCGGCAUCCUGGACCGGUAUUGACGCUGAGGAGCGAAAGCCAGGGGAGCAAACGG
rnacentral:rRNA from 1 species